rnacentral:antisense_RNA from 20 species
GGGUGCUUGAGGCUGUCUGCCUCGGGCAUGCCACUGUAAGGCAGACAGAGAAAAGCCCCAGUUAACAUUACGCGUCCUGCAAGACGCUUAACAUUAAUCUGAGGCCCAAUCUAUGUCUCACAAAUGUAGGUUAGCCUCUUACGUGCCGAAAGGCAAGGAGAAGCAGGCUAUGAAG